GUUUCUGCUCAGUUGGUUAGAGCGUAGUGAUGAUAACGCCAAGGUUUCAGGUUCAAUCCUUGUAUGGGACA